rnacentral:rRNA from 1 species
AGAGUUUGAUCCUGGCUCAGAUUGAACGCUGGCGGCAUGCCUUACACAUGCAAGUCGAACGGUAACAGGGAGCUUGCUCCGCUGACGAGUGGCGAACGGGUGAGUAAUAUAUCGGAACGUGCCUGGUAAUGGGGGACAACUAGUCGAAAGAUUAGCUAAUACCGCAUACGCCCUACGGGGGAAAGAGGGGGAUUCGCAAGAACCUCUCGUUAUCAGAGCGGCCGAUAUCUGAUUAGCUAGUUGGUGAGGUAAAGGCUCACCAAGGCUUCGAUCAGUAGCUGGUCUGAGAGGACGACCAGCCACACUGGGACUGAGACACGGCCCAGACUCCUACGGGAGGCAGCAGUGGGGAAUUUUGGACAAUGGGCGCAAGCCUGAUCCAGCAAUGCCGCGUGAGUGAAGAAGGCCUUCGGGUUGUAAAGCUCUUUUUGUCAGGGAAAGAAACGGUCUUGGUUAAUACCUGGGGGCUAAUGACGGUACCUGAAGAAUAAGCACCGGCU